ACCAACGUCUCCGUUGAGCACAUCACGCAAUUCUUCUCUCUAUGGAUGAUACUAAAUGAGGUCCAUCUUGACGAGCUCACCGAAGAUGAUAUCCUUUGGAAACACACGACCCGUGGACAAUACUCGGCGGCCUCCGCGUACAGGGCACAGUUCCUAGGGACGGUCCUUUCUCCCUUGGACAAAAUGAUUUGGAGGGUUUGGGCACCACCCAAAGUCAAAAAAUUUGCUUGGUUGGCCCUUCGAGACAGAAUUUGGAUGGCGGAUAGAUUGGCAAAUCGUGGGUGGCCAAACUGCGAUCUCUGCCCUCUUUGCAGGAUGCUGCAAGAAUGCGGACCUCACCUCUUCUACAAGUGUCGCUACACCCGGCGUCUUUGGUCUUUGGUCAUUGAGAAAUUCGUCAUGCACGGGCUUGACACUUCCGCUUGGCCCUUGUUCGACUCGGUGGAGGAUUGGUGCACUAGUAGAAAACAGGGCUUAGGUCACAGGGCAGUUUUCACAUUAGCCCCGGUUCAGUCACGAACCGGGACUAAUGUGAGCAUUGGUCCCGGUUCGUGA
rnacentral:rRNA from 1 species